CUUCCCUGGUAGCUCAGAGGUAGAGCUACUGUAUGUGGUGAGCGAAGGCGGCUAGCAAUAAGUGCAAGGAGGUCGCAGGUUAGAAUCCUGCCCGGUGGCU